rnacentral:rRNA from 1 species
CCCUUAGAUGUUCUGGGCCGCACGCGCGCUACACUGACGAAGUCAGCGAGCAUGUCCUACGCCGACAGGUGCGGGGAAUCUUGUCAAACUUCGUCGUGAUGGGGAUAGAUCAUUGCAAUUAUUGAUCUUGAACGAGGAAUUCCUAGUAAGCGCAAGUCAUCAACUUGCGUUGAUUACGUCCCUGCCCUUUGUACACACCGCCCGUCGCUACUGCCAACUGAGAUGGGUCCUGAAUUGUUAGGAACGCCCGUCAAGGGGCCUACCCGGUCCCUAGUGCGGUGACGAGAAUAACUGUAAAUGGCAUAUCUUGUAGGGAGUAAAAGUCGUAACA